rnacentral:tRNA from 1 species
GAGGUUAUAGCUCAGUGGUAGAGCACGUGCUUAGCAUGCAUGAGGUCCUAGCUUCA